rnacentral:rRNA from 1 species
UACGGAAGGCAGCAGUGGGGAAUAUUGCACAAUGGGCGCAAGCCUGAUGCAGCCAUGCCGCGUGUAUGAAGAAGGCCUUCGGGUUGUAAAGUACUUUCAGCGGGGAGGAAGGCGAUGCGGUUAAUAACCGCGUCGAUUGACGUUACCCGCAGAAGAAGCACCGGCUAACUCCGUGCCAGCAGCCGCGGUAAUACGGAGGGUGCAAGCGUUAAUCGGAAUUACUGGGCGUAAAGCGCACGCAGGCGGUCUGUUUAAGUCAGAUGUGAAAUCCCCCGGGCUUAACCUGGGAACUGCAUUUUGAAACUGGCAGGCUUGAGUCUUGUAGAGGGGGUAGAAUUCCAGGUGUAGCGGUGAAAUGCGUAGAGAUCUGGAGGAAUACCGGUGGCGAAGGCGGCCCCUGGGACAAAGACUGACGCUCAGGGUGCGAAAGCGUGGGGAGCAAACAGGAUUAGGAUACC